rnacentral:rRNA from 1 species
AUGAAUGAGAAACUUUCGAUUUUUAGCUGGAACGUGAGAGGCCUCAACGAUGGUGCUAGGCGUGCCGCCUCUUGCGCGCUUAUUGAUAGCCUUGACUGCUCCAUUGUUUGUCUGCAAGAAACCAAGCUGCCGUCCUGUAUGACGUCUGAUCGGCACGAAGUUGUGGGGCGGCGCUUUGAUCAGCACGUUGCGCUUGAUGCUGAUGGCACGCGUGGCGGCAUUAUGCUGUGUUGGCGCUCG